rnacentral:rRNA from 1 species
AAAGUCGUAACAAGGUUUCCGUAGGUUAACCUGCGAAGGAUAAUUG